rnacentral:rRNA from 1 species
AGAACGAACGCUGGCGGCAUGCCUAAUACAUGCAAGUCGAACGAAGGCUUCGGCCUUAGUGGCGCACGGGUGCGUAACGCGUGGGAAUCUGCCCCUUGGUUCGGAAUAACAGUUGGAAACGACUGCUAAUACCGGAUGAUGACGAAAGUCCAAAGAUUUAUCGCCAAGGGAUGAGCCCGCGUAGGAGUUAGCUAGUUGGUGAGGUAAAGGCUCACCAAGGCGACGAUCCUUAGCUGGUCUGAGAGGAUGAUCAGCCACACUGGGACUGAGACACGGCCCAGACUCCUACGGGAGGCAGCAGUAGGG